CUGAGCUGAGGAUGAUUUAAAGUUAUCCCUGUCUAAAAUGGUAUCUUUUGUGAGGAGGUCUGACUUCCUGAGGCUCAG
rnacentral:snoRNA from 1 species